rnacentral:rRNA from 1 species
CAUCCUCCAAGGCUAAAUACUCCUGACUGACCGAUAGUGAACCAGUACCGUGAGGGAAAGGCGAAAAGAACCCCGGCGAGGGGAGUGAAAAAGAACCUGAAACCGUGUACGUACAAGCAGUGGGAGCCCCACCACCAAAGCAUUCUCUGGUGUUGAAGGCCCUGCAAAGCAGCAUCGCGGUGGCGGAGCGUCGUUUGCGACGCCCAACGCACAAAACAAGCGGUGAGUGCUUUGGGGUGGGGUGACUGCGUACCUUUUGUAUAAUGGGUCAGCGACUUAUAUUCUGUAGCAAGGUUAACCGCAUAGGGGAGCCGUAGGGAAACCGAGUCUUAACCGGGCGUUAAGUUGCAGGGUAUAGACCCGAAACCCGGUGAUCUAGCCAUGGGCAGGUUGAAGGUUGGGUAACACUAACUGGAGGACCGAACCGAC